AGAAUCAACGCUGGCGGCGUGCCUAACACAUGCAAGUCGCACGAGAAAGGGACUUCGGUCCUGAGUACAGUGGCGCACGGGUGAGUAACACGUGAAUCAUCUACCUCCGAGUGGGGAAUAACCUAGAGAAAUCUGGGCUAAUACCGCAUAACACUUACGAGUCAAAGCAGCAAUGCGCUUGGAGAGGAGUUCGCGGCAGAUUAGUUAGUUGGCGGGGUAAUGGCCCACCAAGACGAUGAUCUGUAUCCGGCCUGAGAGGGCGCGACGGACGACGACUAGGAACUGAAACACGGUCCAGACUCCUACGGGAGGCAGCAGUGGGGAAUUUUGCGCAAUGGGGGAAACCCUGACGCAGCAACGCCGCGUGGAGGAUGAAAUAUCUUGGUAUGUAAACUCCUUUCGAUGGGGAAGAUAAUGACGGUACCCAUAGAAGAAGCCCCGGCUAACUUCGUGCCAGCAGCCGC
rnacentral:rRNA from 1 species